rnacentral:rRNA from 1 species
UACAGGGGGUGCAAACGUUGCUCGGAAUUAUUGGGCGUAAAGCGCGCGUAGGCGGCCACUUAAGUCGGAUGUGAAAGCCCCUGGCUCAACUGGGGAAGUGCACCCGAAACUGAAUGGCUUGAGUGCGGAAGAGGGUCGCGGAAUUCCCGGUGUAGAGGUGAAAUUCGUAGAUAUCGGGAGGAACACCGGUGGCGAAGGCGGCGACCUGGGUCGACACUGACGCUGAGGCGCGAAAGCGUGGGGAGCAAACAGG